CUGGCCUGUCACCAGAUCAUGAGCAAUGGCAUUAACAUCCUUGGAAAUUUAUAAUAAUAAUGGUUGAUUAAAGUUUCAGUCAUGCUACCGGGAACUUAAAUAAUAGUUUUGAGUGUUGUGAAGUUGUGUACGUUGUUGUAUUUUGGAUGAGGAGGGAAACUCGUAGCCACUACACAAGAGUGUGCAUCAGGUAAAUGUUGAGAGACUGGAAUGCUUGGGGUUCACCUGAAAGGCUGGAUUCCUUAGCCUGAUCUUCCUGAACUUUUCUUCAUUAGGAUUAUUGACCACAUUUCUGCAAUAUAUUAGAAGUGUUUGGAAUGCCCUUUUCACCUUGGUAUCAUCUUCCUGCCACACAUGGCAUUUGAAGAUUAGAUUACACAAAAUGGACUUGCUGAUAUGAUUCAAAAGUGCACAAAAAUGAGCCUAGAAGAGAUUCUUACAAAUUUUUUGGAUUGCAUACUAAUAUACACUACGUAAAAAAGAGCAGCAUCUACCUUGUAUUGACGCCUAAGAGAUCUCAGACAUUCUCUCAUGAGCUCUGUCCUCUGAGCAGAAUAAUCAGGCAAGGGAGCAGACUUGGUCACUAAUGGGUUCUGUCUCUGAUUGACAGAAGAUUAAUGAGAUUAGCACAGGUUUUAGGACUGAAGUUCUUAGAAGCCAGAGGAUAUAGUGCAAAAAGUACUACCUUCUCUUCGUUCAUCAAGGAUGCGCCAUGUAUCCCCAUUCUUUCUGCCUAUUAGAACAUACAUUUGUGGUGUACAAUGGUUAGAACAAAUAUUAGAUUGAAAAGAAACUUGAGGUAUAUACCUUAUCCUGCAGCAACUUCUGUCGAA